ACCAUCCACAACGGUGGUCCAUAAUGAAUCCUUAGCAUUAAUUUUUAAGAUUAAUGAAAUAUAAUAAUAAUAUUUUGGCUUACCUAAAGACGGAUCAAUCCUUCAAGAAGGAUUGGAAGGACUCGAUCCUUGAUACACGUGCCCCUUACUCUGCUCUUUUUCUCUCUCAAUCUCUCCUCCCUUGCUCUCUCUCAAUCUCUCCUCCCUCGCGCCAUCAUCUCCCAUGGCGGAAACAAGGGUUGAAAUCUCAGAUCAUGUGGGUGGUGAGGUCUCUCUGACGGACUCGGAGGAUUAGAUUAUGGAGUAGCAUGGUUGGAUGCUGUUGGGUUUCAUCACAGAAAGUGAAAGCGGUUUGGUAAACUUGGGAGAAUGAUUGGAAACCAUCCACGGCUAAAAGAAAGUAGUCGGUUUUUAUUCAUUCCAGGUCCUGAUGACGCAGGUCCCUCAACAGUCUUGCCAAGAUGCGGCUUACCAAACUCUUUAACUGAAGAGCUUCGAGAUGUUAUUCCCAAUGCGAUAUUUUCAAGCAAUCCAUGCAGGUAAGUUCUAUAGAUGUUGGCCUUGCACGAAGUUUCAGUAAUCUGAAGCCUAGUUUAAAGUUCACGUUUUUCUAAUCACCUUGGCCAAAUCUUGACUAUUAAUUAUUGAAACGAUACUUAAGCUUGAAAUAUAGUUUCAAUUAGUUGAACGAAUACACUUGGUGAUGAAGAACAGGGUUCUUGUUUUUCUAACGAGGUAUGCCGAUAAGCACUCUUGUAUGGUCUGAACACAUUUGCACGAUAACAGGGUUCUUGUUUUUCUAAUGAGGUUAGCCGUUUCCGUGCUUCUGCACUCUUCUCCAAGUUCUCCAAGAUUGCUUGGAUGUUGCGUAGUCAUUCUUCUUAUCAAAGGAUUGCAUGUCACUGGUACACGAGUUAGGAGAGGAGCAUCGGUUGACCUGAUCCUCUGAAUCAAAUGGUGAUAGCACAGAAGUUGGAGAUUUUGUUCCUUUCUCCAUAGCUGAGGAAGGAGACUGAGAAUAUGGAACAGGCGAUUUCCGAGGAUAAGGAUGUGCUGGUUUCCUCUUUGGACGAGGAGGUGGGAUCACAACCGUUUUGAUCGAGCUGUCGCUACUACUGUCAGCUUCACGA